AGAGUUUGAUCCUGGCUCAGAGUGAACGCUGGCGGUAGGCCUAACACACGCAAGUCGAACGGCAGCACAGUAAGAGCUUGCUCUUAUGGGUGGCGAGUGGCGGACGGGUGAGGAAUACAUCGGAAUCUACUUUUUCGUGGGGGAUAACGUAGGGAAACUUACGCUAAUACCGCAUACGACCUACGGGUGAAAGCAGGGGAUCUUCGGGCCUUGCGCGAUUGAAUGAGCCGAUGUCGGAUUAGCUAGUUGGCGGGGUAAAGGCCCACCAAGGCGACGAUCCGUAGCUGGUCUGAGAGGAUGAUCAGCCACACUGGAACUGAGACACGGUCCAGACUCCUACGGGAGGCAGCAGUGGGGAAUAUUGGACAAUGGGCGCAAGCCUGAUCCAGCCAUACCGCGUGGGUGAAGAAGGCCUUCGGGUUGUAAAGCCCUUUUGUUGGGAAAGAAAUCCAGCCGGCUAAUACCUGGUUGGGA
rnacentral:rRNA from 1 species